rnacentral:rRNA from 1 species
UACGAAGGGGACUAGCGUUGUUCGGAAUUACUGGGCGUAAAGCGCACGUAGGCGGAUUUGUAAGUCAGGGGUGAAAUCCCGGGGCUCAACCUCGGAACUGCCUUUGAUACUGGCUGUCUUGAGUCCGGGAGAGGUGAGUGGAACUCCUAGUGUAGAGGUGAAAUUCGUAGAUAUUAGGAAGAACACCAGUGGCGAAGGCGGCUCACUGGCCCGGUACUGACGCUGAAAUACGAAAGCGUGGGGAGCAAACAGG